rnacentral:sRNA from 1 species
UAUAUGUAUUACAUAACACAGAGCUAACAUUUAGUGUUUAGUAUUAUUAAUACCCACAUGACUAUGGACUUUUGUAAUAUGUUUGGCUGUGCCACGGAGAAAGCACAUAUAUAUGUGUGCAUUUGUCUAUUUCAUCUAUUAAUUGCAUGUAUAGAUUUUUGAUGAGAAGUACUUUCUGGUGGAAAUGGAUGACUUGCGUCCUGAGAACCACGCACGGCGAUCCUUUGUGUGCCACGCCGACAGUCCUGGCAUCUUCCCUGUGCAGUGGAGUCUGAAGAAUGGCCUACACAUCAGCCCCCCUCCAGGCUACCCAAGCCAGGACUUUGACUGGGCUGACUACCUCAAACAGUGUGGUGCUGAAGCUGCUCCCCAGAGGUGCUUCCCUCCGUUAAUUUCUGAACAUGAAUUUAAGGAGAACAUGAAGCUCGAGGCGGUGAACCCCAUUCUCCCUGAAGAAGUGUGUGUUGCUACCAUCACUGCAGUGAGAGGCUCCUACCUGUGGCUCCAGCUGGAGGGU